UACGUAGGGGCUAGCGUUAUCCGGAAUUACUUGGCGUAAAGGGUGCGUAGGUGGUUUCUUAAGUCAGAGGUGAAAGGCUACGGCUCAACCGUAGUAAGCCUUUGAAACUGGGAAACUUGAGUGCAGGAGAGGAGAGUGGAAUUCCUAGUGUAGCGGUGAAAUGCGUAGAUAUUAGGAGGAACACCAGUUGCGAAGGCGGCUCUCUGGACUGUAACUGACGCUGAGGCACGAAAGCGUGGGGAGCAAACAGGAUUAGAUACCUCGGUAGUCCCUGAG
rnacentral:rRNA from 1 species